UCAAGCGAAGAAGAGCACAUGGAGAAUGCCUUGGCAUUAGGAGCCGAAGAAGGACGUGACAAGCUGCGAUAAGCUGCGGGAAGGUGCAAAUGACUAUAGAUCCGCAGAUUUCCGAAUGGGGAAACCCGGCAAAGCAAUACUUUGUCAGCAUAUACUGAAUAAAUAGGUAUAUGUGGGGAGACCCGCUGAACUGAAACAUCUAAGUAGGCGGAGGAAGAGAAAUCAAAAGAGAUUUUCUGAGUAGCGGCGAGCGAAAGGGAAAGAGGCCAAACCGAUGGUAGUAAUACUGUCGGGGUUGAGGACUGCGAAACGCAUUCGGAGUUGAUAGUAGAAUUGACUGGGAAGUCAAGCCAAAGAGGGUAAGAGCCCCGUAAACGAAAUUGACGAAGAGCGAGCAGGAUCCAGAGUACUGCCGGACACGAGAAACCCGGUGGGAAGCAGGGUAGACCACUAUCCAAGCCUAAAUACUACCUAAUGACCGAUAGAGAAGCAGUACCGUGAGGGAAAGGUGAAAAGAACCCCGGGAGGGGAGUGAAAGAGAACCUGAAACCGUGUGCUUACAAGCAGUCGGAGCACGUUAAAGUGUGACGGCGUACUUUUUGUAGAACGGUCCGGCGAGUGUAUGUAUGUAGCAAGGUUAAGAGCUUAAGGUUCGAAGCCGCAGGGAGACCGAGUCUGAAUAGGGCGAAAGAGUUGCAUGUAUACGACCCGAAACCGAGUGACCUACCCAUGGACAGGUUGAAGCUAGAGUAAAAUCUGGUGGAGGACCGAACCCACGUAUGUUGAAAAAUGCGGGGAUGAGCUGUGGGUAGCGGAGAAAUUCCAAUCGAACUCGGAUAUAGCUGGUUCUCCCCGAAAUAGCUUUAGGGCUAGCCUCGGAUUAGUUUAGCGGAGGUAAAGCACUGAAUGGGCUAGGGGGCGUAUAGCUUACUGAACCCUAUCAAACUCAGAAUGCCGCAAAAAUGAUGUCCGGGAGUCAGACUACGGGAGAUAAGUUUCGUGGUCGAAAGGGAAACAGCCCAGACCCACAGCUAAGGUCCCAAAAUAGGUUUAAGUGGAAAAGGAUGUCUAGUUGCAGAGACAACUAGGACGUUGGCUUAGAAGCAGCCAUACAUUUAAAGAGUGCGUAAUAGCUCACUAGUCGAGUGAAUAGGCGCCGAAAAUUUAACGGGGCUAAAACCUAUACCGAAGCUUGGGAAUGUAACUUAGGUUACAUUGGUAGGGGAGCAUUCUAUUAUAGGGAGAAGCAUGACCGGAAGGACAUGUGGACGAGAUAGAAGAGAGAAUGCCGGAAUGAGUAGCGAGAAUUAUGUGAGAAUCAUAAUGGUCGAAAACCUAAGGUUUCUUGAGGAAGGUUCGUCCGCUCAAGGUAAGCCGGGAGCUAAGGCGAGGCCGAAAGGCGUAGUCGAUGCACAUACGGUAGAAAUUCCGUAGCCACCGAAAUUGUUAAGCACAGGGACGCAGGAACAUAAUCCAACCGCACCGAUGGUCGAGUGCGGCGAAAGGGAGCGAAAAUUAAGUAGCGAAGUGGAUGAUUGUACACUGACGAGAAAAGCUGUGUGUAUUGAUGAGGUGCCCGUACCGUAAACCGACACAGGUGGGUGAGGAGAGAAUCCUAAGACCAGCGGGAGAAGUGUUGUUAAGGAACUCGGCAAAUUGACCCCGUAACUUCGGGAAAAGGGGUGCCUGCUAGCGCAGGCCGCAGAGAAUAGGCCCAAGCGACUGUUUAGCAAAAACACAGGUCUCUGCUAAAUCGAAAGAUGAAGUAUAGGGGCUGACGCCUGCCCGGUGCCGGAAGGUUAAGAGGAGGACUUAGCGCAAGCGAAGGUCUGAAUUGAAGCCCCGGUAAACGGCGGCCGUAACUAUAACGGUCCUAAGGUAGCGAAAUUCCUUGUCAGGUAAGUUCUGACCCGCACGAAUG
rnacentral:rRNA from 1 species